rnacentral:rRNA from 1 species
GACGAACGCUGGCGGCGUGCUUAACACAUGCAAGUCGAACGGAAAGGCCCUGCUUUUGUGGGGUGCUCGAGUGGCGAACGGGUGAGUAACACGUGAGUAACCUGCCCUUGACUUUGGGAUAACUUCAGGAAACUGGGGCUAAUACCGGAUAGGAGCUCCUGUUGCAUGGUGGGGGUUUGAAAGUUUCGGUGGUUGGGGAUGGACGCGCGGCUUAUCAGCUUGUUGGUGUGGUAGUGGCUUACCAAGGCUUUGACGGGUAGCCGGCCUGAGAGGGUGACCGGCCACAUUGGGACUGGGAUGGGGCCCAGACGCCUACGGGAGGCAGCGGUGGGAAAUAGUGCACAAUGGGCGGAAGCCUGAUGCAGCAACGCCGCGUGCGGGAUGAAGGCUGUCGGGUUGUAAACCGCUUUCGCCUGGAACGAAGCGUGAGUGACGGUAAUGGGUAAAGAAGCACCGGCUAACUACGUG